UGAAGAUGAAGUUCGUCUCAGACACGACUUAUUCCACAACCACAGUGCUGCUAUACGCCCGUGCUCAACAAGUCCACGGUCACUGAGAUAGAUAUGAUGUAUCACUUACAAAGCAUUGUUGAUCUGGACGAAAGAAAGCAGAUAUUGAUGACGUCAGGUUUCUUCAGUAUCCUAUGGACAGACGAAACCCUUAAGUGGGAUCCAGCACAGUAUGGUGGACAGAGGUUGAUACUGGUAAAUCCAGAUGACAUAUGGAAGCC